rnacentral:rRNA from 1 species
CCUACGGGAGGCAGCAGUAGGGAAUUUUUCACAAUGGGCGAAAGCCUGAUGGAGCAACGCCGCGUGCAGGAUGAAGGCCUUCUGGUUGUAAACUGCUUUUAUAAGCGAGAAAUAUGAUGGUAACUUAUGAAUAAGGAUCGGCUAACUACGUGCCAGCAGCCGCGGUCAUACGUAGGAUCCGAGCAUUAUCCGGAGUGACUGGGUGUAAAGAGUUGCGUAGGUGGCAUAAUAAGUAGCUAGUGAAAUCUGGUGGCUCAACCAUUCAGACUAUUAGCUAAACUGUUAAGCUCGAGACCGUUAGGGGUAACUGGAAUUUCUAGUGUAGGAGUGAAAUCCGUAGAUAUUAGAAGGAACACCAAUAGCGUAGGCAGGUUACUGGGACGGUUCUGACACUAAGGCACGAAAGCGUAGGGAGCAAACGGGAUUAGAUACCCUAGUAGUC